rnacentral:lncRNA from 1 species
GCUUUGAAUAACCAGUAGCAAAGUCCUUUCUGUUGCUAACUACUACAUUGCAUUCAGCUGCUUAACAUUUGCUUCCUGUUCCCAAGAUCACCAGAGGCAACUGUAGCAUUUGAUGAGGGUGUUGGAUUUCAUCAAAAGAUUUUUCUACAUAGUUUGUUCCAGCUUGGGAGAGGUGGGUUGGCCUUGGCCCCCUUGUUCAAAGCUGUCACAGUUUUGAAGUCAUUUCAAAACCUUCGAUAAUCUUGUUCCAUCUGCUUUUCCACCUUAUCUUACAUUUCUGUACCUUCUCCCAUAGAAAUAGCACUUUGGUACUCAGUUUUCUUUCCUUCUCUUUUUUCUUUCUUUUAAUAUUUUGUUUUACUGUGGUAGGAACACUUAACGUGAGAUCUACUCCGAACAGAUUUUUCAGUGUAUGAUAUAGUAUUAUCUGUAGGCACAAUGUUGUACAGCAGAUCUCUAGAACUUAAUUCAUCUUGAAGUGUGGAAGGGAAGGUAUGGUUAGAAAUCUCUCACACUAAAUUAGGAACAGUUCAUUUGAUAAUUGGUAAAAAUGCAUAGCUUCUUUUGAUGAACAUCCAGGCCUUGCAGCUUUAUGUAGUACUGAGAUUAUGUCAGUCAGGCUUUGUGUAUUUAUGGCUUUUUCAGGGUGCACUCUGCAGCCAAACUUCAGGAAAGCAUGUGCUAUUUAUUAUGCUCAAGUGUACAAAGUUCUCUUAGGUAUUGUAGAGUUAUAAUGAUCAGCUGAGAUACAUGUUGAAGUUACAAUAGAAUGCAAAGUGGUGUCAGGCAGAGUUCAAUUUGGACUUUAAGAGAGUUACACAGUAUUCAAAGUAUAUAGUUGCAUAGUAUUCAGAGUUACAGAGUAUUCAAAGAAGUAAAUCAGUCAUAUCUAGUGACGUUAUCUAGAAAGGCCUUGUCAAUGAAGUGGCACCUAACUAAAUUGCUUUUUUAAUCUGUAUAUACAAAUGAAUAGUAAUAUUAAUAUAUAAAUACCUUGUUUUUAUUCAACUCUAACUUUUUUUUUUUUUUGAGACAGAGUCUUGCUCUGUUGCCCAGGCUGGAGUACAGUGGCACAAUCUUGGCUCACUGCAACCUCUGCCUCCUGUGUUCAAGUGAUUCUUCUGCCUCAGCCUCCCGAGUAGCUGGGACUACAGGUGUGCGCCACCACGCCCAGCUUAUUUUUGUAUUUUUAGUAGAGACGGGGUUUCACCAUGUUGGUCAGGGUGGUCUCGAACUCCUGACCUCAUGAUUCGCCCUCCUUGGCCUCCCAAACUGUUGGGAUUGCAGGUGUGAGCCACCAUGCCUGGCCUCAACUCUUAACACUUUUUAAAUGUGUAACAUUAAAUACAAACUAAAUGGCAAAACCAAUAAAAAUUUAAUGAGUUUGAGAUAUUGGAGCUGAAGCAUGUCUAAUAUUGAAGUCUAAGUUUACGUCAAUUGGUGACUGAAGUGGAAUGGAGUUGGAAACUAUUGGUUUACAAAGGUAGACUGUCUAUAGGGCAGAAGUGUUGGUAGAUUCAUUCACCAACUGUAUUGGCAAGAGAGAGAGUAGAGGGAAGAUUAUGAUGUUUCCUAUUUUUUUAGUUUAGCUUUUAUUUUGGUUAAUUCCCUCGUUAUGCUUUCCUUUGUUUGUGUUUUUGGUUUUGGGCUUUUUUUUGUUGUACUUUUCCUUUUCAUAAGUUGGAUAUUUGUUUUCAGUUAUGUGCAAUCAUAGGACUUCAUAUGAAGUUUUUUUCCUUUUUAUUAACUGCCAUGUAACAUAAGUUCUAUUUUGAUAUCCUCCUCAGUUUGGGGGUUAUUCAAAAUUCAUCCUUCACUGUAUAGCAUGAUAUGGGAAGAUCCUGCCAUUUCCUUGUUUUUGUUUGUUGGUUUGUUUUAUUUAUUAUUAUUAUUUUUUUAAGAUAGGGUCUUGCUCUGAUGCUCAGGCUGGUCUCAAACUCCUGGGUUCAAGUGAUCCUCCCGCCUUGGCCUCUCAAAGUUCUGGGAUUACAGAUGUGAGCUACCACUCCUGGCUGCUCCUGUCAUUAUCAAAGUAAACAAAGAUUCAUGAAGUAACUAAUCUUUCGAUUACCAUAGCCAUGAAUUCUGGCCAUAAUUCUGCUCUGUUGCCCAGGCUGGAGUGCAGUGGCACCAUCUCGGCUCAUUGCAGCCUCCACCUCCCGAGUUCAAGUGAUUCUCCUGCCUCAGCCUCCCGAGUAGCUGGGAU